GUGCAGCAGGCGCGAAUCCUUCGCAAUGCGGGAAACCGCGACGAGGGACUCCCAGUGCCUACGCUCAGCGUAGGCUGUUCCCGAGCCUAGAAAGCUCGGGGAGUAAGGGCUGGGUAAGACGGGUGCCAGCCGCCGCGGUAAUACCCGCAGCCCGAGUGGUGGCCACUAUUAUUGGGCCUAAAGCGUCCGUAGCCGGCCCGGUAAAUGCCUGGGUAAAUCGUGAGGCCUAACCUCACGAAUUCCGGGUAGACUGCCGGGCUAGGGACCGGAGGAGGGAGAGGGUACUCCAGGGGUAGGGGUGAAAUCCUGUAAUCCCUGGAGGACCACCGGUGGCGAAGGCGCUCUCCUAGGACGGGUCCGACGGUGAGGGACGAAAGCCAGGGGAGCGAACCGGAUUA
rnacentral:rRNA from 1 species